rnacentral:rRNA from 1 species
ACCAAGGCGACGACGGGUAGCCGACCUGAGAGGGUGACCGGCCACAUUGGGACUGAGACACGGCCCAGACUCCUACGGGAGGCAGCAGUGGGGAAUAUUGCACAAUGGGCGAAAGCCUGAUGCAGCAACGCCGCGUGAGGGAUGAAGGCCUUCGGGUUGUAAACCUCUUUCAGCAGGGACGAAGCGCAAGUGACGGUACCUGCAGAAGAAGCACCGGCUAACUACGUGCCAGCAGCCGCGGUAAUACGUAGGGUGCAAGCGUUGUCCGGAAUUACUGGGCGUAAAGAGUUCGUAGGCGGUUUGUCGCGUCGUUUGUGAAAACCAGCAGCUCAACUGCUGGCUUGCAGGCGAUACGGGCAGACUUGAGUACUGCAGGGGAGACUGGAAUUCCUGGUGUAGCGGUGAAAUGCGCAGAUAUCAGGAGGAACAC